rnacentral:rRNA from 1 species
GGAUAGACGACUAGAACAACCCAGGGUGUGCCCUGGCUCUCAGAGGCGAUGAACGCCGUGCUAAUCCGCCAUAAACGUCUGUAAUGUGAUAUGAACCGUUAUAACCGGUGAUUUCCGAAUGGGCAAACCCAGUGUGUUUCGACCCACUAUCCUUACAUGAACCCAUAGGUUAUCGAAGCGAACCGAGC